rnacentral:snRNA from 1 species
UCUCCAUAAAAUGACAUGUGU